CCUACGGGCGGCUGCAGUCGAGAAUCAUUCACAAUGGGGGAAACCCUGAUGGUGCGACGCCGCGUGGGGGAAUGAAGGUCUUCGGAUUGUAAACCCCUGUCAUGUGGGAGCAAAUUAAAAAGAUAGUACCACAAGAGGAAGAGACGGCUAACUCUGUGCCAGCAGCCGCGGUAAUACAGAGGGCUCAAGCGUUGUUCGGAAUCACUGGGCGUAAAGCGUGCGUAGGCUGUUUCGUAAGUCGUGUGUGAAAGGCGCGGGCUCAACCCGCGGACGGCACAUGAUACUGCGAGACUAGAGUAAGGGAGGGGGAACCGGAAUUCUCGGUGUAGCAGUGAAAUGCGUAGAUAUCGAGAGGAACACUCGUGGCGAAGGCGGGUUCCUGGACAUUAACUGACGCUGAGGCACGAAGGCCAGGGGAGCGAAAGGGAUUAGAUACCCGUGUAGUC
rnacentral:rRNA from 1 species